rnacentral:rRNA from 1 species
CCUACGAGAGGCAGCAGUGAGGAAUAUUGGUCAAUGGUCGGGAGACUGAACCAGCCAAGCCGCGUGAGGGAGGAAGGUACAGAGUAUCGUAAACCUCUUUUGUCAGGGAACAAAGGCGGGGACGUAUCCCCGGAUGAGUGUACCUGAAGAAAAAGCAUCGGCUAACUCCGUGCCAGCAGCAGCUGUAAUACGGAGGAUGCGAGGGUUAUCCGGAUUUAUUGGGUUUAAGGGGUUCGCAGGCGGUCUGUUAAGUCAGCGGUCAAAGCCCGGGGCCAAACCCCGGCCCGCCGUUGAAACUGGCAGUCGCGAGUUGGAGAGAAGUAUGCGGAAUGCGCGGUGUAGCGGUGAAAUGCAUAGAUAUCGCGCAGAACUCCGAUUGCGAAGGCAGCAUGCCGGCUCCACACUGACGCUGAGGCACGAAAGCGUGGGUAUCGAACAGGAUUAGAUACCCCAGUAGUC